ACGCACGCUGGCGGCGUGCUUCACACCUGCAAGUCGAACGGAAAGGCCCUGCUUUUGUGGGGUGCUCGAGUGGCGAACGGGUGAGUAACACGUGAGUAACCUGCCCUUGACUUUGGGAUAACUUCAGGAAACUGGGGCUAAUACCGGAUAGGAGCUCCUGCUGCAUGGUGGGGGUUGGAAAGUUUCGGCGGUUGGGGAUGGACGCGCGGCUUAUCAGCUUGUUGGUGGGGUAGUGGCUUACCAAGGCUUUGACGGGUAGCCGGCCUGAGAGGGUGACCGGCCACAUUGGGACUGAGAUACGGCCCAGACUCCUACGGGAGGCAGCAGUGGGGAAUAUUGCACAAUGGGCGGAAGCCUGAUGCAGCAACGCCGCGUGCGGGAUGACGGCCUUCGGGUUGUAAACCGCUUUCGCCUGUGACGAAGCGUGAGUGACGGUAAUGGGUAAAGAAGCACCGGCUAACUACGUG
rnacentral:rRNA from 1 species